rnacentral:lncRNA from 1 species
UAACAUUAAUCUAAUAGAAGUACAAAAAAUAUUCAGGUCACUUUUACGUAAGUACAAAGGCAUACAAACGUGUGUAUCAUCUUCACAGCUGCUGUCUACGGAGCAGAAACUAUUCCCUGCUCGAGAUGUGCCACGGUGACCUAUGGCCCACAUGUGCUUCCAGCUCGUUUUUCCAGCCCAAAGAUAUCUGGAUAAAGGAAGACUCAUGCACUUCACAUUAUCCCCUUCACCACGCAUCAUUCCAGUUAUUGAAUAAUACAAGACAAACAGUGACCUACUUUAGAAAAACAGAUGAAAAGAAAAUGAAAACAAGAUACGUGACAACAGCAAGGAAACCAUGAAGCGCAAGCAGCAUCAGGUGAGGCUAAUGCAUUCUACGUGACUGCCAUCUGCACCUGGGAACACAGGCGACCCGAAAGCAGCAUCUGUUGGGCAGCAGGUCCUGCUGCCAGCUGUCAGCAGUGCAGCAGGAGCCGUGCAGUGCUGGCUAACACAGACCGACCGCUGCUCACGGGCACAGCACAGACAACGCGCCCCUCCCGCACGUGGCUCACAGCAGUUCCCUUUCCUUGAAAUAAGUCAGGGGAUUUCUUAGAAGUUCGAAUCUAUAUCUGCAGAGAUCAAACCUACUGCUCCUGCAGAAGGACCUUCCUGCCGCUGUGACUCAUCAGCAAGAAAAGGUGGGCCCUGCAGAUGACAAAUGAUGUUUUCAUAGUCUUAAGUAGCAAAGGUACCAGCAGUGAGCCCGUGGUGAGGGAAAGGCUGUUGGAGAGAACAGUGAAAAGGGACUUUCAUAUUAAGUUUGCUGAAUAUAAAUGAACACAGAGGCCUCGACAAAGGGUAGCAUCUUAAAAAUGCAUACGUGGGAAUUAUUUAAAUAAACUGAUACCAAAUAAGUCAUGGGAGAAUUGCUAUAAUAAAAAGGGAGGACUCUGUUUUGAAAUAAGACUUCCUUGAGAUAGAGGUUUAAUCUCUCCUAACCCAGAACUGCCUUCACUCCUCCGUUGUUUUUUCUGCAACCCAAUUGUUGAAUAUUAAUUCCUCUGUAGCAGCAGACUAAGUAUGACCAGAUUUCAACAAUGAAAGACCUAAAGGAAUAAUUAACGAACAAUGGACUCUUCUAUUACAAGGAAACGAUUAUCCACACCAGAACUGAAUUAGCAGAAUUUUCUGACAAACCAGAGCUGUUUGCUACAGCAGGGAGCACGAAGGGAUGGAUGCCUUCAGCUUUCCCAGCUCUACAGUUACUGAGGCUGGCACUGCUGUGACGUGGUUGGUUCCAACCCACAGAGGUGAGGGGUAUCCACCACGAAGAACGGGUGGACUGCAGCAUGCUGCAGCAGCACUUUGUCGUGUCCCUUCUGACUGCAGGCAUAAAGGAAGACAACAGAAAUGGGAACUGCAGCUGCAAAUUAUUUUACCCAAACAAAUGCUCGAUGGAACUGUUUGUCCUAAUGUGGCACAAAGCCACCACCACUGCUGAGCGCAGGCUGCAGAACAGAGGUGGAAUCCUUACGGAUUGAAGGCAAGGUGGAGGUUUCUUACAAAGCCACAUAUUGCUCCCUUGAAUGAGUUCAAAUGUUUACAGGUUUUAUCUGAGAAAUAAUGCAGCCACCACAAACACUGAACAAAGGUAUUCUUUUAAACAAUCUGAAAAACCACAGCUUUCUUCAGUUAUGCUUAUUUGUUAAUUUUACAAAAAAUGCAUACUGAAAACACCAUUUUAAUAACUUCAAGC